rnacentral:rRNA from 1 species
AUUGAACGCUGGCGGCAUGCCUUUCACAUGCAAGUCGAACGGCAGCACGGGUGCUUGCACCUGGUGGCGAGUGGCGAACGGGUGAGUAAUACAUCGGAACAUGUCCUGUAGUGGGGGAUAGCCCGGCGAAAGCCGGAUUAAUACCGCAUACGAUCUACGGAUGAAAGCGGGGGCCCUUCGGGCCUCGCGCUAUCGGGUUGGCCGAUGGCUGAUUAGCUAGUUGGUGGGGUAAAGGCCUACCAAGGCGACGAUCAGUAGCUGGUCUGAGAGGACGACCAGCCACACUGGGACUGAGACACGGCCCAGACUCCUACGGGAGGCAGCAGUGGGGAAUUUUGGACAAUGGGCGAAAGCCUGAUCCAGCAAUGCCGCGUGUGUGAAGAAGGCCUUCGGGUUGUAAAGCACUUUUGUCCGGAAAGAAAUCCUUGGCCCUAAUACGGUCGGGGGAUGACGGUACCGGAAGAAUAAGCACCGGCUAACUACGUG